rnacentral:lncRNA from 1 species
CACCAGCGGCGGCGAAGCCACCCCGGAUCGAAGCUACCGGACCCGGCGCGAGGAGGCUGCGAGGGCGGCGGCAGCAGCAGCAGCAACCCCAGCGGGGCGUCAGACAGGCGACCCGAGCAACCUGCCGGGCGGGAUCAAAGGGCGGGUGGUUGGGAUCAGCUGUCUCAGAGGAGAGGAGAGAGCUAUAUGCUUAAUAAAAAUGCGCGCCCCGCUCCGUUGAGCGGAUCCAUCCAGAGACUUAAAAAAUAAAAAUAAAAAUCCCGCUUGUAAAAAUAAUAAUUAUAAUAAAGGGUGGUGGUGCAGGAGUGUGAAAACGCGCGCUUCUCCCGAGCUAGAGUUAAAAAUUGGCUUUCUUCGAGAAAGGACACGUGUCUCAGUCUAGACUAGACACCUCAGGAACAGAGACAGAGAGGGACCCACCCGGGCGCGCUUCUUUGCCACCGUCCCACUCUGCUUUGCAACCCUUGUCCCUGGGAGAAGUUGCAGCAGCUGCUCCGGGUUGCUCUUCCAGCCGGGCAAGAAGUUGAGGAGUUGCUUGACGAGAUGCUCAGCGGAGAGACACGCAGGGAGAGAUAAGCAGCCUCCUCUUCCUGCCUGCCCUCCUGCCGCCUCUUCGCGCACACGCUUGUAAGAGGAGUUCCCCCUUCUGGCACGAAGGCUACGGCCGAGGCAUCGCUGCCUCCUUGGGGGUCCUGAGACAGCAGAUGGAGGCAGCCCUGGCCAGACAGAAAGGGAGGGGUACCUGGCGGAUCUUUCUUUUUCUUUCCCUUUACUUCGUCCACGCCUUGCUCCCUCCUUGCUUACUGCUGCUGCUAUUAAGCACCAGGGGUGCUGUUCUCUGUCUGGUUCAGGGGCAGAUCCGGAUGGGUGAUGGGUUCAUGAUGCAGCAUCAUGUAACCCAUAGUAACCUUCCCUGCUUGAACCAGCCAGAAAGCCAACUCCGCCUCGCUGUAUCUACCCCAGAGCAACCUCCUUCCUUGUCGGGCUGCUUCUCUUCUAGAAAAAGUAACUCAGAUCACUUUGAUGUUGCACCGCUGGCACCCACCUCACAAAACACAGCUGAUGCUAUCACAGUUUACCACGAGUAUUCCAAUGGGAAAAGCAGUCUAAUACUGUAAUGUUAAGUUAGACAAUGUUACUUAAUUUCCGUGAUAUAUGUAAACUGAAGGGGUUCUUGAAUAAAUAUGCUCAGGAGUAUCUCAUCAUUUACAUAAAAAGCAAAGAUUUUUUUUAAAAAAGAAAUGUAUUCAUAUAUUUAUAUAUAUAAAAAGAUUAUUAAAAUAUCUAAAGCUUUGGUCUAAAGAGUUAUAUGGUGACAUUAUAGCAUCCAUCUGGAUCAGAUGUUUGCCUCGCCCACCCUUCUUAAGGAAAACCCUCCGGUUAAAAAAAAUCACUCAGAAUGCAGUGCAUCAAGUUCUCAGUGGUUACGUAACUUGAAAAGCUGGUCAGGAGAAAA